UGAUGCAACGGAACAGGGAUCUUUCGCCGGGCCGUGCGUAGAGGAAAGCCGGCGGCGGAUUGCAUCAGCUUUAAGGACAUGGAGUGACAACCUGGCAGAGGUCAACCUUCAGAAGAUGGGGCCUGUGUCACCUGUUUGCAAAAUUAGAUGUGGUGCCCAUUAAGAUAGUUGCAGAAGCUGAGGGCCUGCAGUACAGCAGACCUAUGCAUCUGAGGACGUCUAGGCCUACCCUGUAUGCUUUAAGCCCUGAGAUAAAUAUCUCCAUUCUAUCCUACUGAACAUGUUCUUCACAUCUAGAAAAGUGGAGAUGACAGUGUAAUUGGAAAGUCCACUCUCCUAAUCCUGAGCUGUACAGAGCACUGGCAGUUCCAAGGGGAGCUACAGGUGCUGAUCAGGCCCAAAACGGGAGAUCUCUAAAUGGGAGCUACAUUUCUCACCGAGAAAAGAACAAGUGGAAGAGACAGACUAGUGUGAGCAUGCAUUUCUCUGUCCAUAUGCAGAUGUUUUGCCAUAUUGGCAAUAUUUUGAGUUCCAUGACCUUCCACCCUGUGCCGUCGUGUGUCCCUGAGUGAACUGGAACCAAACAGCAGCAGAUGGAUGGGUAUCCUCACAUACAGGUAUGUACUCUACCCCAGCAACCCUUACUCUGGUACCUGUCUGCCUCUCAGAUGGGCAACCCUGUGGGCCUAGAGGCUGGAAUUUAUACUGCCUUGUUCCUAGGCAGAUUAACAGUCACAUGACCUGCCUUUAGCAAAAAGGGCACCAAAGGCUGGGGAAGAAGGCCCCAAACAUGGAUUCCCAACAACAACUAAGAGAAAUCCAAGAUGGCUAUGUGCAGAUAAUGUAAAAAUUGAAAAAUAAAGAAAGUUCCCCUACAGAAGGACAGGCAAUGAGCUUGAGCAAGUCCUGGGGAGGGUCAGCAGCAGAGUCCCUGAAGGACAGCAACAGCAGGCUGGGGAAGUUCUGUGGGUGCAGGGGUGGUUCCUUGUGGGGAAUGAGCUAGGGAUGGAGCCCAUGAAUGGCUUGGCUAAAGAGACCUGAGGAAGGUCAAGGAGGAGAUGAGCAACAUAAGCAGUAGCCAAGAGGAAAGUGAAGCUGGAGUAUAUGAGUAACAGGGACAGUUGCUUCUUGAGCCCAGCGUGGAGGGAGGGACUCAGCUCCCCCAUACCCAGCUGUGCCACCUAGAGGGGUGAGCUGCAGCUAAGUGGCAAAGGCCUUAUGACAGGGUGCGAGCUCAGUCCUCAGAGGGUUAAUGUAGCAGAUGCUAGGAGUAAGGACGCAGCUAGACUGCUUACCUGCUCCAUUACCCCAGGUAAUCUAAUGAGUGCAUCUGGGCCCCAGCUGAGCUGCCUGAUUGGCCUAACCCUCCGAUUGGCUGAGGGGAUCAGCAGACUUGCUCUGAAGGCUGCAACAGGUGAGUACUAGCUGCUCAAAGCAUUUGUCCAUGGUUAUGGUACCUCCUGCCUUGCUGUGUUACAGGUAAUCAGGUUCUGAUCUCUAAGUCUGGCUCUGACCCUGGAUGCCUAUUUCUGGCUGCUGACUCCUGCUCCAACCACUGUGACUGCCCAUGUCCCAGUCCCUGACAGUUAACUCUGACCUGUUAGAGGCGGUAGGGGAAAUCUAAAGGGCUGCCUGGGAGGUAGUAAAGGGAGGAAAGCUGGAUGUGAGUAGGAGCAUAGCUUACAGCUCUGCAUAAUUGUGGAGACUGGUGAUGGUAGUUGCUGCCUUUGUUUUGUUAGUGCUACUGCUUUUCUGUUGGCAGUCUGUCUACGUUCCCAUACUGGUGGCCUGACUGUUUUAUUUACUGCUGGGAGAUCAGUGUGUCAGCCCACUAGCAUCUGCCAGAAAGUGAAAUGGUCAAGGCAUCAGAACAGGCAAAGGACCUCCCUUACACCAAGGGGAGAAACUUUGUUGUGUAGGGUUGGACUUUUGACUGCUCUGUAAGGGGAAGACUUUUACUUUGAUUAGAGGGCCAAAGCACUAAAUCACUGAACCACCACAAAGAGACUGUAGACCACUGCUGGGAAAAUGAGGCACAUAACCAUCCAGACAGCAGAGGAAAGCUGCUCCUUCACAGGGUCCCUUCACCUGUACCUUACUACAUCCUUCAUUGUUUGCAAGAACUAUCCCACAUCUUGCCUGCUUCACAACAUUUGACUGUGCUGGAACGAACACAAGUGAGUGAGUAGCUGCCCACUGUACCCAAUGUGUUCACUAUUUUGUCAGUUAACUCGAGUGUAACAUUCUGCAGAUAAUCUGGGAAGAUACAGGUUAAGGAUCAAGGUUCCUAAGUGACUACAGAUAGGAUUCAGAACUUUAAACUUUAAACUAUCAAAUUGUUUUAUGUAGUGUAUAUAAGGGAAUUAGGAUGUGACAGAUGUGAGAUAUUGGAAGUCUGGAAGUGUCAGAACAUUGUUAUACUGAGGUGUGCCAGAUGUUUUUGUAGGCACUGCGAUUAUUCCUAUUCUUGUAUACAUGUAACACUUAGAUAUCUGUGUGCAUUAGGGAUUGUAUUCUAGCUCCAUGGGGAAUGGUCACUGAGCUUCCACCAGGAACUAAAAUCUGGGGAGUAUAAUUAAUGCAAUUUCUGGGACAGGUAAACAACUCUGGGGAAUCCCCCCAUGCCUCCUGGGAAUUGCCUGUACAGGUUCAGAUUAGGUUCAAGAGGUCCAGCAAACAAAGAGAGGGCUCUAGGUAUAAAUGAUCAGCCUGAACUGGCAGGGGGACCCUCAUUUGAUCCUCAAACUGAUAUGAAAUUGCUUAAAGGAUAGGUAACUUGCCAGGGUCUCCAAGUGGAACACAGUGCCAUGUUUCUCUUUGGUUCCAGGAUGCACACACACCUGCUUUUGCCCUCAUUCCUUAAAGAGGCUUUUUAAUUUGUGCCUUCAGUGAAAAGCUUCUGGGCUCUAAGCAUGUGCCCCCUGGGCUGACUCUAAUGUCCUGACACUGAGUAUGUCUAUGUCUCAGUAGAUAAGAGAUCAGGAGUUGCAAUAUCCCUUAGGGAAUUCAUUUUCAAAUACAGGUGAAAGCCCAUUUCUUUACAGGUAUUAGAGCUUCUAAACCAUAAUGAGAGAGGUUCUGAGACAUUAACAGCUGCAGUAAUCACAGAUGGGUUGUCUGUGAGUCUCCUAGUUUGUUCUUGGGAUGUUGUUGAAGGGGACCUUUGUUUUCAAGUAAGUCAACAUGUGUCUUCCUUAAAUUAAGCUGUGAACCACUCCAAAAUCAAUUCUCUUUAGUUUAUUAUGAAGAAAUGCCCCUCACAGGCAGUGUGGAAUGAGGAAGUAGAAAGCACAAGUUCCCAUCUGUGCUCACAAAUGCCACAGCUGCAAUGUCUUUAAAAGCACAUCCGUUUUAUUUCAAUAUAAACAGAAUGAAGCACUUCUUUUCAGUGUCACGGGGUUGGCAGUGGAUCUCAUUGCAUCCUCUGUGUGGU